AGAGCUUUUUGCAAGAUAGAACAUAUUUCAAAUACAAUAAAUCUAAAGCAGUGUGACCUACUCAAUGUUGAUUGAAUCAAUUAAUUCUGCCAACUAGAUUUACAAUUCUUAUUGCAGACUAAAAAAAUUUCUGUAGCUAUUAAUCUAGUACAUUUUUAAGCAUAAAUAUGUCGGAACAAUCGGCCUUUGUGGAUGAAAAACUAACUCUUUGCAUCAAUUACAAUAUGUACAAAAAAAAAAUAUUUGGGGUGAGUACUACCCACAAAAGAUUUGAUGGUAGGCACUAUACCGAAAUA
rnacentral:lncRNA from 1 species